AGUAUCUGAAUUUGGGGAGAACAUAAGUCCAUGACACAUGUGUACAAGACUUUCAUUGUGAUAUUACUGUCAUAAUAAUAAUAUAUAACAACAUACAACAGAGCAACCAACAAGCUUAACACCUGAGAAAAGAUAGGUGCCUCCAAGAAGAAACAAACAUGAGUACUUGAUUACCUAGGGCAUACACAGCACAGACCAAGAUAUAAUCGCCUUGAAAGUGGAUGAAAAGAAUGUAGCUGAGACAUUUAUCAAAUUACUGGAGGCCAAGUGUGAACACUAGUGAAGAUCAAUUGUGGUUGGAGAAAUGAAGAACAACAAAACUCUAACCCCAGGACAGGUACAAGAUUAUUGAGAAAGCUUCACCCCACAAACUCAGGGGCACCAAGACUGAGGCUGAGCUGUAACGACAGAAUUUUCCCACUGUUAAGGCAAACUAAAUAUGGCCUGAGAAGGACUUCUAUAUUUGAGUCCUUGUGGACUAAAUGCAACCUAGCUUAACAGGGUAGGAACAUUUAAAGGGACCAAAAAUGGAUGAACAUACUGGGCACUAUGAACUAAAAGAUCUUUGGCUAAAGAAGAGACGAAGACUCAUUCAACUCCUACAAGUGAAUUAAGGAGCUCUGAGAAGGCAAAGCCAGCCCAGGAGGGUGGGCAGACUAAGAACAAUGUGCCUUGUCUUGAUACACAGUUGUGGUAUAGGUAACAAAAUCUGAGUAUCCAACCUAAGAUGUUACCCCUCACCUCACCAGAAUACCUCCAAUCCCUUCCCUGGAAACACAGAAUAAAUUUCUAUAGAAAGUUA
rnacentral:lncRNA from 1 species